rnacentral:tRNA from 1 species
GAAGGUAGAGCUCAGUGGUAGAGUGCAUGCUUAGCAUGCAUGAGGUCCUGGGUUCAAUCCCCAGGACCUCCA